AUUGGGUUUCCAUUAUAGUAUUUCGCAAUAUUGCAUCAGCCGGUUACGACUAGUUUUAUCAAUACACAUAACAUUCUUUACUGUUUUAAGUAUUAUAACGAAAAAAGUGGAAUUUAAACAACUGAAAUGUAUUCAAGAAUUCUACAAAGAUAUUAUUAGCCAGACGAAUUACAACGUGAAAAAUCCAAGACUUUAUAAAGACAACGAACGUUUAACACAAAAUAUAUCAUCGGAAGACUUCAAGAAAAGAAUGUUAACCAUAACAUGGUUGAAUAUCAUAAUAUUUUCAUGUUGUUAGAAUCACUCAACCGUUUGAGUAUGCCAUACUCAUACGCAUGGUUGAAUAUCAUAAUAUUUUCAUGUUGUUAGAAUCACUCAACCGUUUGAGUAUGCCAUACUCAUACGCAUGGUUGAAUAUCAUAAUACUUUCAUGUUGUUAGAAUCACUCAACCGUUUGAGUAUGUCAUAGGCAUAUGCAUGAUUGAAUAUCAUAAUACUUUUAUGUUAUGAAAAUCACUCAACCAUAGGAUUAUACCAUAAUCAUACACAUGACUUAAUGUUAUGAUAUUUUGAUGUUGUUGAAAUCACUCAACCGUUUGAGUAUGCCAUAGGCAUAUGCAUGAUUGAAUAUACGCUUUUGGGAGUAGUAUGGAAUAUAACGUUUAUGGGUGCAUUUUUGAAAGUAGUAAAGAAUAUUAUGUUUUUGAUACAUUUUAACCCUUUUUAUUAAAAUAAUUUAUAAUUGUUUGUUCAUUAUGUUUUACAUUGUUUACUCUCAGUGUUUUAUACAAUAAAUCAUAAAUGUUUAUACCAUUUUGUAACAUUUUAAUGAAAAAUAAACAAUAAUAACCACAAAA